GGGGGUGUACUGGUUUCGACGGGGGAUGCGGUGGCGGAAGAGGCGGACCGGGUUGGCGCCAGCCCGUAAAAAAGGCGCAAAACCAAUAAUUGCCAAUAAUCAAUACGCUUUAGCUGCUUAAUUGCAGUUGACCUCCAUCCUUCUGUGCCUGCGGUGAGGGAAUGGGGGACAAUCAGCAGGCUGCUCUCAGGUGAUCGCUUCGUAGCCUGAGGGGACUUUUAGAAGCUGGCGGAAGGAAACCUUGUCUGUGGGGGUUCCGGAAGCGAGAUUCAAAUCGCGGACUACGUUCGUAGAAUCUUCCGUGGCUGUUCUUUCGGACAGGGGUUCGACUCCCCUCACCUCCACCA
rnacentral:tmRNA from 1 species